rnacentral:tRNA from 1 species
UGCUGGGUAGUGUAAUGGUUAACAUAUCACAUUUUGACUGUGAUGAUUCCGGUUCGAGUCCGGCCCCGGUAA